rnacentral:rRNA from 1 species
UACGUAGGGUGCGAGCGUUAACCGGAAUUACUGGGCGUAAAGCGUGCGCAGGCGGUUUUGUAAGUCAGAUGUGAAAUCCCCGGGCUUAACCUGGGAACUGCGUUUGAAACUACAAGGCUAGAGUGUAGCAGAGGGGGGUGGAAUUCCACGUGUAGCAGUGAAAUGCGUAGAGAUGUGGAGGAACACCGAUGGCGAAGGCAGCCCCCUGGGUUAACACUGACGCUGAGACGCGAAAGCGUGGGGAGCAAACAGG